AAAAGAGAGGAAGAGGAGCUCCGAUUUCCAGGAGGGGUCCCGAGUGGGUAGCUGCCGAGUUCUUUGUCAAAGAGACUUGCAGGCCUGGCUUCCCUGUCUCCAUCUUGAGACCUGGCUCUCUUCAGAUUCACCUCUAGCCACAGUUUUGUAAAUUCUACCUGUACUUCUGCAAGGCUGCCUGUUGGGUCUUCACUGAAUUCUUUCAUGAAUGACACAAAGAACUGAGGACCAAGGAGUGAGGACCUGGCUUCCCAGUGACAAGUGUACAACACAGAUUUCUUUUGAAAUCUGUUCGAAGUUGUGCACUUUAAAGUGUAGGAGAGAAAAAUAUUUUGCCUUCUACCACCCCCAGAUUCAAUGACUGGGGCCCACAGAUCAAAUUGAUAAAAGACAUACUGAC
rnacentral:lncRNA from 1 species